UGCCAGCCGCCGCGGUAAUACAGAGGGUGCGACCGUUGUUCGGAAUUACUGGGCAUAAAGGGCGCGUAGGCGGCCUGUUAAGUGUGAAGUGAAAUCCCACGGCUCAACCGUGGAACUGCUUUGCAUACUGGCAGGCUCGAGGACGGUAGGGGAGAGCGGAACUCUUGGAGGAGCGGUGAAAUGCGUAGAUAUCAAGAGGAACACCAAUGGCGAAGGCAGCUCUCUGGUCCGUUACUGACGCUGAGGCGCGAAAGCCAGGGUAGCGAACGGGAUUAGAUA
rnacentral:rRNA from 1 species